UGGCUGGUAGUUCAUAUCCCACUCUAAUUAGUCUAAAUUAGUGCCUUUUCUUCUGUGAAGAUUAGACCAUCUUAUAAUGUAAUGUUGGACUUCCAUUUAGUUGAUUAGAUUGCCUUUACAUGCAGGUAGCUGCUAUGUCAGGUGAUGCUAGGCGUGCGUUGGAAAUUUGUAGACGGGCGGCAGAGUUCACAGACUACCGUUUUAAACAGUCUCAACAGUCUGGACAGACUUCCUUUUCUGCAAAUAAAGGAGAUGGUGUUUUUUGCAUGGGUGAUAUAAAAGCUGCUAUUCAGGAAGUCUUUCAGGCACCACAUAUUCAAGUGGACAGUGGUUGCCUGUUGCCUCUUAUAUGAGCUUGUACGACUUGCUGUCUUUUCUCUGUAGCAUGAAAUUUCCUCGGUCAGGGUAACCACAUAUGAUGAAGAAUUGCUCAAAGUUCGGAAAAAUUAUAUUGGUUGCUAUGGUUCAUGAAUUGUACAGAAGUGGGCUAGGUGAAGUAAUGUUUGAUAAGCUAGCAGCGACAGUUCUCUCCUGGUGCCAUGUCAAUAGAGAACUACUGCCUGGAUACGACACUCUCCUGAAAAUCUCGUACUCUAAUCCAAUC